rnacentral:lncRNA from 1 species
AAGAUAAACUCUGGUUUGGCGCGCAAAAUUGUCGCGUUCCUAUUUUCGUUCGCUUUCAAAACGUUUGCGUUCUCUCGCAAUCUCUAUUAAGUUACAUUACGAGAAAACUUUCGUUCACUUUAAAAAAAAAAAAUCUGAUGACAAAUUUUUCAUUGACUUUCAUUACUUUGCUGCAAAAAAAAAAGACAUUUAUUUUUCAAAACAUUUGUGUGAAAGUAUUGCGUUACCGGUGAUCAACAAAAUUACAAAAAAUAGGUUUCUUCCACAUCAUAUUAUUUCUAACACAGAAAAGAUUUGUGAAUGAAUAAAAAAUAUCAUGGGGGUGAAAAAUCUCAAUUUCAAUGCUUUUACCCCCCCCCCCCCCUUUACUACAAAACACUUAUGUUCAUUUUCUUUAAUUAGCAGACUUACUACAGAGUUAAAUAGAAUUUUUUUUUUUAAAUAAUAACUACUUGAAAAUGCGUUAAAUCCAAUUUCAUUAUAUAUUUUUUUUAUUAAAUACCAAUAACUAACAUUUAAUAAAUAGUCAAAUAAUAUUAAAUCAAAUAAAAUAGGAUGAAAUAUGAUUUAAAGCAUCUUCAAGUAGUUAAUAUGAAAAGAUUUGAUAAUGGUAGAAACAAAAUAUUUUACACAUCUAUAAUGUUAUUUAUUUAUUUUUUCAUUGUAUAAAUGUGGUCUUUAUACAUGAAACCGAUGUCUUUUAAAUGCUAGAAUGAAGGCUUCAGAUGGAAACUCAGUUGAUUAAAUUGAUUCAGAAUGAAGUCGGGUCUGAUGUGGUUUAGUUCACACCGUUACAUUUACGUAAUUUUCUAGGAUGUUUUUAGUCGUGAGAUGAUUAACACAUGAACACAUGAAUCUGUGUUUUUCAGGCUCGUACUGGCGCUGGAGACCCGGUGUUCCCGUGCGAUCAUCUUUGGGACCUGCUGGACGAUUGGAGCUUCCUGCUGGACAGAAGGUUUCUGAGGAGGAACGUCUUGCAGUGGUUUACCGAGCUCUUCCUCAAAUGUCUCGAAGGUGCUUUCGUCCAUCACUCACCUGAGAAACAAGGAGAAUUCCUAAAAGCUGGUGUCACAUAUAUCUGUGUUUUAAUACUUGAUCCUUUCAGAGCUUCGACACGUUCAUGUCACAUUAAACGUCCCAGACAAUAAGAACGGAAAUGAAUUAAAU